AUUGAACGCUGGCGGCAUGCCUUACACAUGCAAGUCGAACGGUAACAGGUCUUCGGAUGCUGACGAGUGGCGAACGGGUGAGUAAUACAUCGGAACGUGCCCGAGAGUGGGGGAUAACGAAGCGAAAGCUUUGCUAAUACCGCAUACGAUCUCAGGAUGAAAGCAGGGGACCGCAAGGCCUUGCGCUCACGGAGCGGCCGAUGGCAGAUUAGGUAGUUGGUGGGAUAAAAAGCUUACCAAGCCGACGAUCUGUAGCUGGUCUGAGAGGACGACCAGCCACACUGGGACUGAGACACGGCCCAGACUCCUACGGGAGGCAGCAGUGGGGAAUUUUGGACAAUGGGCGCAAGCCUGAUCCGGCCAUGCCGCGUGCAGGAUGAAGGCCUUC
rnacentral:rRNA from 1 species